GAUGAACGCUAGCGGGAGGCCUAACACAUGCAAGCCGAGCGGUAGAGUUUCUUCGGAAACUUGAGAGCGGCGCACGGGUGCGUAACACGUGUGCAACCUACCUUUAUCUGGGGGAUAGCCUUUCGAAAGGAAGAUUAAUACCCCAUAAUUUAUUGAUGGGACUCAAUUAUUAUUGAAAACUCGGUUGGAUAGAUUGGGGCAGGCGCACGAUUGGUUAGUUGGUGAGUUAACGGCUCACCAAGUAAAUGAUCUUUGGGGGUCCUGAGAGGGAGAUCCCCCACACUGGUACUGAGACACGGACCAGACUCCUACGGGAGGCAGCAGUGAGGAAUAUUGGACAAUGGGUGAGAGCCUGAUCCAGCCAUCCCGCGUGAAGGAUGACGGUCCUAUGGAUUGUAAACUUCUUUUGUACAGGGAUAAACCUACCCUCGUGAGGGUAGCUGAAGGUACUGUACGAAUAAGCACCGGCUAACUCCGUG
rnacentral:rRNA from 1 species